rfam:Microgenomates (Gottesmanbacteria) bacterium GW2011_GWA1_34_13 TR52_C0003, whole genome shotgun sequence.
UUUUUUGAGAGUUUGAUCCUGGCUCAGGAUGAACGCUGGCGGUAUGCCUUAGGCAUGCAAGUCGAAUGGUUUUGUCGCAAGGCAAGACAAUGGCAGACGGGUGAGUAAUGAUAAGGAACGUACCCUGAAAUGAAGGAUAGCUCGCCGAAAGGCGGGGUAAUCCUGCAUAGUCUCCGACGUAAGUCGGAGUAAAGAGCUUAACUGCUCGUUUUAGGAGCGGCCUUAUUCCUAUCAGCUAGUUGGUGAGGUAACGGCUUACCAAGGCUAUGACGGGUAGGGGAUGUGAGAGCAUGACCCCCCACAAUGGCACUGAGACACGGGCCAUACACCUACGGGUGGCAGCAACUAGGAAUAGUUGUCAAUGGACGAAAGUCUGAACACGCGAUACCGCGUGAGGGAUGAAGUAUCUCGGUAUGUAAACCUCUUUUGACUAGCCGUCGAGGCUAGUAGAAUAAGCACCUACAAACUACGUGCCAGCAGUCGCGGUAAUACGUAGGGUGCAAGCGUUAUCCGGAUUUAUUGGGCGUAAAGUGUCGCGUAGGCGACUUCUUGUGUUAUACCUUAAAUGGUAAGGCUCAACCUUGCUUUUGGGUAUAAAACUAAGAAGAUAUUGAAGGAGAGAAGGGUACCUGGAACUGACGGUGUAGCAGUGAAAUGCGUUGAUAUCGUCAGGAACACCAAAGGCGAAGGCAGGGUACUGGCUCUUUCUUGACGCUGAGGCACGAAAGCUAGGGGAGCGAAGCAGAUUAGAGACCUGCGUAGUCCUAGCCCUAAACGCAUGGAUGCUAGAUACCUCAACUCAAAGCGCAGCUUUGAGAAAUUCGAAUUUUGAAUUUUCUCAAAAAGCAGCUGCUUUUUGAGUUGAGGUGUCGUAAGCUAACGCGUUAAGCAUCCCGCCUGGGGAGUACGAUCGCAAGAUUAAAACUCAAAGGAAUUGACGGGGACCCGCACAACCAGUGGAGCAUGUGGCUUCGAGGGUGUUACAAAGCUGCUGCAUGGCCGUCGUCAGCUCGUGCCGUGGGGUGUUGGCUUAAGUGCCAGAACGAGCGCAACCCCUAUCCAAUGUUAAAUAAUCAUUGGAGACAGUCCCGACUUUUUGUCGGGAAGGAAGGAAGGGACGACGUCAGGUCAGCACGGCGCCUAUGUCUUGGGCCACACACAUCCUACAAUGGCGAAAAACAACGAGAUGCUAGCACGCGAGUGUAAGCCAAUCUCUGAAAUUUCGCCUCAGUUCAGAUUGCAGUCUGCAACCCGACUGCAUGAAGCCGGAAUUGGUAGUAAUCGCAGAUCAGCAUGGCUGCGGUGAAUACGUUCUCGGGUCUUGUACACACCGCCCGUCAAGCCAACAAAGUUGGAGGCAGCCGAAGUCCGGCCUAGCCGGAUGAAGCUGAAUUCAGCGAUGGGGACUAAGUCGUAACAAGGUAUCCCUAGCCGAAGCUGGGGAUGGAUCACCUCCUUU